UUCGCCUACGGGGGGCAGCAGUGGGGAAUAUUGCACAAUGGGGGAAACCCUGAUGCAGCGACGCCGCGUGAGUGAAGAAGUAUUUCGGUACGUAAAGCUCUAUCAGCAGGGAAGAAAGAAAGUCCUUUGGACUUUGGACGGUACCUGACCAAGAAGCCCCGGCUAACUACGUGCCAGCAGCCGCGGUAAUACGUAGGUGGCAAGCGUUGUCCGGAAUUACUGGGUGUAAAGGGAGCGUAGGCGGGAAGCCAAGUCAGCUGUGAAAACUACGGGCUUAACCUGUAGACUGCAGUUGAAACUGGCUU
rnacentral:rRNA from 1 species